UACGGAGGGUGCGAGCGUUGUCCGGAAUCAUUGGGCGUAAAGAGCGUGUAGGCGGCCCGAUAAGUCCGCUGUGAAAAGUCCAGGGCUCAACCCUGGGAUGCCGGUGGAUACUGUCGGGCUCGAGUCCGGAAGAGGAGUGUGGAAUUCCUGGUGUAGCGGUGAAAUGCGCAGAUAUCAGGAGGAACACCAAUGGCGAAGGCAGCACUCUGGGACGUGACUGACGCUGAGACGCGAAAGCGUGGGGAGCAAACAGG
rnacentral:rRNA from 1 species